rnacentral:lncRNA from 1 species
GAGCGAGAGGACGUGGAGGUUUUUCAGGUGCCAAUGAUGAGCGUGAGAGCACACUUAACCAGUUGCUCGUAGAAAUGGACGGCUUUGGUACCACCUCAGGGAUAGUUGUGCUUGCUGGCACUAAUAGGCCCGACAUCUUGGACAAAGCCUUGUUGAGGCCUGGUCGAUUCGAUAGGCAAAUCUCCAUUGAUAAACCUGAUAUCAAAGGCCGUGAACAAAUAUUCCAGAUAUACCUGAAAAAGAUUAAGCUUGAUCAUGAACCUUUGUAUUAUUCACAAAGGCUUGCAGCCCUUACACCUGGAUUUGCUGGAGCGGACAUAGCCAAUGUUUGUAAUGAAGCUGCUCUCAUUGCUGCCAGGAAUGAGUCAACUGUGGUCACCAUGGAACAUUUUGAGGCAGCUAUAGAUAGGAUUAUAGGUGGUUUGGAGAAGAAGAACAGGGUAACGUAGCUUCUCUCUCUUCCACUCCAUCAUGCUGGUUAUUGGUCUCUUCUUUUUUUUUCUAUUUCAGCGACACUGUUCUCUUGCACACAUGUUCUUUGUUUCUAGGAUCCUCUCUCCCAACGACCCAACUAAGAAUUCCAUAUUGUCUUUGGCUGGCUUGCUGUGCUGACUGCUUAUUGAAUGGAAACCAUCAUAGCUUUUUUUCUGUGAUGAUUGAGAUGGGUGUGUUAGUAGGUUGUUCCAACUGAUGCUUUUUGGUCGUAGCAUUUUCGUAUUCUUUUUACUCAUCUUCUCAUGUGGUCAUUGGUUGAAAGUAAAGCUAGAAAAUUAUUUUGAUGAGUGUCACCAAACAGCGAGCUUGCGCUUCAGUUAUUGAUGCUUGUCUUUACUGUUCACAGUCUUGCCAUUUAGUAUCACAAACAGUGAGAACGUCUUUCUCUUGGCAAAUUCUUUGAUCCUUGAUCUUGUGGGUUUUGUUGCUUUUGGCAUGGAUUGAUGUGAAUAUGAUUUCAAAUAUUGACUUUGUGAUUUGGACAUGUAUAAAAGGAGAUAAAUCAAUCUAAACUUUUGUUUUGGAGCAGGUAAUAAGCAAACUAGAGCGUCGCACAGUUGCAUAUCAUGAGUCAGGUCAUGCUGUGGCUGGUUGGUUCUUGGAGCAUACGGAGCCUUUACUGAAAGUGACAAUAGUCCCUCGCGGCACUGCUGCUCUAGGAUUUGCCCAAUAUGUGCCUAAUGAGAAUCUUCUCAUGACCAAGGAACAGCUUUUUGACAUGACAUGUAUGACCCUUGGCGGACGAGCAGCUGAACAGGUGAUUUAUGGGACUUCAUAUUUGUCCUUCACUUUAUGGAUAGCAGAAAUGCAUUAAAUUUUUUUCUUUCCAUCUUUGCCCGUUGAAUUGAAGAAGAUCAACGAGGCAAAUAUGUUCUUGUAAGGUUCUAAGUUUUAAACCUCGAUGUUGUUGAGUUGAAUAUUCAUGUAAUUUGCAGGUUUUGUUGGGUAAAAUAUCAACGGGAGCUCAAAAUGACUUGGAGAAGGUGACGAAAAUGACCUAUGCCCAGGUAGCAAUAUAUGGCUUCAGCGACAAGGUGGGACUCCUGUCCUUUCCUCAGAGAGAAGAUGGAUUUGAGAUGACCAAGCCCUACAGCAGCAAGACUGCAGCACUUAUUGAUGGGGAGGUGCGUGAGGUGGUAAACAAGGCAUAUGAGCGUACAUUGGAGCUAAUAACGGAGCACAAAGAGCAUGUUGCUCAGAUUGCUGAGCUGUUGCUUGAAAAGGAAGUUCUUCAUCAGGAAGAUUUGCUUCGUGUUUUAGGCGAGCGACCAUUUAAAUCGAGUGAAAUGACCAACUAUGACAGAUAUAAGCUAGGGUUUGAAGAGGAAGAGAAGAGUACAGAGACUCCAGAGACUGGUGCAGUGGAGGAUGACGAAUCGCCUCCUCCUUUGGAUCCACAGGUAGUCCCAACUUAGUUCUCAGGAAUUCUAGCUGAGACUAUUUUUGUAAAUGAUUUGGAUCGUUUCCCCGGAGUCUUUUCUGGAGCAAAAAGAGAAAACAAGAGAACUGCACUGAAUAGGAAAAAAUCUCUCUGCCACACCACACAAUUGCAGAUUGGGUAUUAUACUCUUAUCACCAAUUCCUACGCCAUUCCACAGCUCAACGGUUGAUUCAAUCAAGGCUGAAGGGGAUAUCACCCAACUGCGUGAUUGGGAAGCUCAUACCCUAUCACUAGAUUAAAAGCCACUUAUCGGUCAAGGAUCAUGGCCUGAAAAAUAAUACGAGAAAAAGGAGAAAAGGAUAUACGUAUGGAAUAACUUGGUCCUAUGAGAUAUGCCGGAUUCAUAUGAUCUGAUGCAGAGAUGAUUGGACUUGAUUUGUAAGGGUACUGGGGUGGUGUUGCUGUAUGUACUUUAAAAUGUAUAUUUAGAAUAAUCAUGAGGGCACUUUCGAGCACAUUGCUUUUUUCACAGAGCAAAGCAAAUAGAGAUAUCUCUGAGGCAGAUUGGUUUGGAAAGGGUGUGAUUCAGCAAUUACUCUUAGAGGGCGAACUCUGGUUGUUAGUGUCACGCCCUGACCCUCCGAGCGUGUGCCCAUCCUGGCUUGGUCGAUUAAAUAGUGAUGUACGCAUAGCCGAUCUAUUCAUUUUAAUACGCAUGCGGAAGUGAUUAAUUAAUCUCUAGACAGCAAGAAGAUGGGAUAGAUUAGUAAGGCCAUAAUUUUCGUAUCAACACAUUAUUAAAACCACAAAUUGGUUUUGCAAACAGAGGCCAACUCUAGCGUUUAAAUAUAGGAAAUCUUUUGAGCCAUCCAUGGUCCUGACCCUUCUGUUUCAAGCUCCGGGAUUCUUUACCUUAUGGACCUGAAAAUAUUAUUCCACAACGGGGUAAAAUAACGUCUUAGUAAGUUCAACCUCCUUAGACCUGAUUAGAAAGAAAAUACGCCCAAAGGGCUGCCUAAGCACAAACAUGAGUCAGAUGGGCUGUCUAAGCACAAACACGAGUCAGUGGAUUUACCUUAAUUUUAGUUCUUUUCUGCAAGUCAAUACAGUUCAUAUCACAACCAAUCAUUACACAAUUAAUUUAUUCAGCCAAAUUGAAUCAUCGAUCAAUUGACUCAGUUGAUCACAUGUUAUGAAGACCAUUCCCCAGUCAUCUCAAUCCAUUUUAUUUAUGAGUUCAACCAUAAUCUAUGAUUGCUUACUUUAUGCCGAUAAUAGAUAGUAUAACUUACCAAAAGUUGGCCUUAAAUACUAAGAUAAUAUAGACUAGAAGUUGCCAGUCAUACUUUUAUAGUAUGCUGAAAAUUAUACAUGCUUGCUAGAAGCUGCCAGCUAUACUUUUAUAGUAUGCUGAAAAUUGAUCAUUUAAUCAAAUGACCAUUUUUUUAUUCUUCUCGACCAUUUUUUUAUAAAAAUAUCGUGUGUGGAUACACGAUUGACUUUGGCAAAAAAUACAAUAUUUUCACUUUUGAAAAUCCCACUAUUUUCAAUAAUCUAUAAACUCAUUUUUGGCGCUGUAAACUGACGCCCAGUGAUUUUCCAAUUAAUUACAUAAAUUAAAUAAUUUUAGGAAUAAAUUCCCAAAAGCACAAUUCACACACAAUCAACACAAAAUAACAGUCAAAUAAUUAAACAUAUAUUUUUUUUUGUGACCCAGAGAAAUCCCGCAUAGCCGACAACUGAGAGUAAACCCUUGGGGAGACCACGCACCCCGGGUAAGUCGCCAAAUGUCUCCACCUGCCUCCCUGCAACGCAAGUUGCAGGUGCUUCGAACUCCGGCUUCCAGCGUGGAAGUCCUGGAGCCUACCAGCGGAGCCACCCUCGCGGGUGGUCAAAUAAUUAAACAUAUUAUACCAUUGCAAUCAGCAUAAAAUUCUAGUCAUUGAUUAUUCCGGUCUAAUUUUCAAAAAAUAAAAAAAUAAUUAAAUAAUUACGAAAAUUAAUUAAUAAAUGCAAAAAAUGCAUACUUAGGCCCGUAAAGCUUGACAACAUCUAUGGGCGUUAACUCUUUUCCUUCACCGCAUCGAGCGACAAUUUCGUAAUGGGGUUUCGAGAUUCUGCGGCUGCAUUGCUUGAGUACGAACAUUUGAGAGGAGGUAACAGAUGGGUCCUCGCCCUCUUCACCGGUACUAACGAAACAUUUGAGACCUUCGGAAAAAGGAACGAGCUUUGGGAGGAAUUGGCGGUCCGGUCGAGGUGAAAACCGCGCGCGUGUUCGCCGCAGCGCAGGUGUUUGAUGAAAUGCCCGUGAGAGCGCGCUCUCUGCAAGUCGAGCCUCGACCCAACUGGGGCUGUUCUCGAGUGAAGAAGCACCGAAGCGGCCUCCAUGCUUUCUCCUGAGAGGGCAAGGAUUUGCCAGCUUCACGGCAAGCUCAACAUUGAUCCGGCGAAACCAUCGUGCAGGAAGUGGGAAACGUGAGGAUUGCAGGCAACUGAUCAAUCGGCCAGGGAACUCGAGAAGGUAAAUGGGCUUUUGGUUCGUGGGGAUUGUGGAUCGAGCCCUCUCCUUGAGCUGUCCUCAUUUUGGAAAGGGGAAGAGCUACACGAUAAAAGCUUCUUUAUCUUGUCUUGGGCCCAAGGAAGCUCCAUUAUUCUUUGAGAUAACCACUUGAGAUGAAUUUUAUUUUAAAUAAAAGCCUAAAAUAUCUCAUUUCCUCCAAUAGAAGUAUGAAAUAGAUCUUAUUUCAAAUAAAAAUUUAAAAUACUAUUAUUUUCUUAAAUAAAAACGUGAAGUGGCCUCAUUUUCUCAAAAAAGGAGAUGAAGUGAAUCUUGUUUUUAAUUAAAAACUUGAAAUGCCAUUAUUUUCUCAAAUAAAGAUUUUAAAUGGAUGUUAUUUCAAUUAAAAGUCUAAAAUGGUCAUUGAAAUCAAGCCAUUUCUUGAGAUUAACAUUAGGGGUGUGUAACCGGACCAGGUAUAUCUGGUUUUCAGACCGGCCCACCUAGAAAAAAUAGGGUUGGGAAUCGGUUCCCAUUGAAACCGGUUCCCAAAAUUCGGAAUCGGUUUAAAUCGGUUUGGGAAUAGGUUCCGAGUGAUUACCCACCCGGAAACCGGUUCCUGGACCGGUUUUGGAAUUGGUUCCCGAACCGGUUUUGUAAGUAAAUGUCCAAAACUUUUUUUUUUCCCCUUGAUUUCUAUUCUUACCUCCGCAAUCACACGGUGUUUUUUCUCAUGAUUCUCUCAAACACGCAAUGCACUCCUCCUUUGUCAUUCCUUUUCCUCACUUGCUUCCCUCUCUCAUCAGCUCCCUCUCGCCCAAUCUGAUGGAUGGACCCACCGAAUUCUUGUAUAUCACAUGGAUUGACUCGCCUAAUUUCUCUUUUAUAGAAGGAGUUAUGAUUGCAUAAAUGAAUAUAGUAGUUGGGGGAAUAAGACUAAUAUUAGACCCAUGUUUAUUGCUAAUUCUUUGACUUAUGAUUUUAUUUAUUAUAAUUAGCUUUGUGAAUCCUUAAUUUUUUGUUUAGUCAAAAAGUUCAUGUAUUUAUUUAUUACAAGUGCUUAAUGUUUUAAUACAAAUUAGGAAAAUUACGUUAUUUUCUCCUAUAUUAAUCUAAAAUUUGAAGUUGUAUAGGAUAUCGAGAGAUUGCAAAACAGGUUUCAGUGGAAACAUGAUUGAUCCUGAAACCGAAUUAGAAAAAUAGGGUAGGUUAGGUAUAAGGUCUAAUACAAACAGGGUCGGAUAUAGAGUACAAAAAAGAGGAACCGGUUAUAGCAGGGUUAGAUAUAGGGUCUAGGUCUAGACCUUACCUACCGUGAACCCGAUCACCCCUAAUUAAUAUGACAAGUUAAGGGCAUUUUCGUCUUUUUUUUUUUAAAAAAAAAUUUCUUUCCUUUUUAUGCUUUUUUCUAUAAAUGGCUUGACUUCAACGACUAGUUAAGGGCAAUUAUGUCAUUCAAUUUUUAUUUUAUUUUAUUUCCUUUUUAUGUUUUUUCUAUAUAAAAUAUGAACUCAAAAAGAAUAAAAAGCUAAUCGAAGAGAAAAAAAAUAAAAAAAGCCCAAGCCACAUGUGGCGACUGCCCCAUUACCGAUGGGGCGGUGGCCCUAGGUAGGGGAGGGUUGCUAGCCCUCUUAUCUGUAUCUAAUUCUCUUUUUUUAAAAUUUUAAUUGUUAUUUUUUCUUUUUUUAGUUUUUUUCGAAAAAAAAGAAAGAAAAUAAAAUGAUAAAGGACGAAAAUACAUUUGACUAGUCAGUGAGGUCAGAAGCCCUUCUUUGAGAUAAAUGUGAUUAUUUUGGAUCAUUAUUUGGAAUAAAGUCAAUUUCAAAUCCUUUAUUUGAAAUUUUCUUCUAAACUUGGGUUAGUUUUUCUACCAAAGAGAGAAAUGGACAUAUGGUGCUCGCUGGUCGUGGCUUAAGAAGGCAACUGUUUGCAUUUUGUGGGGAUAAGUAGUUUCCAUUAUCUUCCACGUCAUUAGAAAAACCAUGGGUUUGUCUUGCUCCUCAAGCAGGCAAAAAGUUCUCCUUUGCCAGCGCUGACGAUAGCCUAUUACGUGCCUCCUAAACGGGAUCGCAAAAAGACCCGCGACCCAGGAACUCACAAUUGUUUUGCUCUUUUUCAUUCUAUCACGAAGAGGCCUGACAUACAACACAGUGUAAGGAUCUGAUUUCCCAACGAGGUCCUUGUUUGUUAGCUCCUUUGCUUGGUUUCGCUUCCAACAUUCCAACAGGCUUCAACUCUAGGUACUGAACAAGAAAAGGUAUUAACCCUCCUAGCAUAAGGACAAAACAUUGAGAUUUUGCAACCUCGUUUCCAAAGAACCAAUAUACUAUUAACAUGAGGCUAAAAUUACAAUAACAGCUAUACUACGCAAGUUGUAAUCCAGCAUUCCUCUUGAUCAAAUUACUUUCAAGCACUAUCUUCUCCAAGAUCGCAUGUGCAAGCUCCAUACAAGAAGAUACUAUUUGAAGAACUAGAAAUGGUUUGAUCCACAUCUGCAAUAUCAUAGUUAGGACUUUCCCACAUUAGGCCUAAAUAUUUUGAUGUUGAUCCUAGAAUAUAUUCUUCAUUUUUCCAUCUUUUUCCAUCUUUCAUUGAAGCUAAAGAAGAAGGAGGCAGCUCAGAUCCAAUCACCAAUAGCUUGUAAGGGAUGUCCCAACUGCUAUUCUAACCAUUCCUCUCAUAAGGAGAUUAUUGUGUUACCUGCUUUGAAUGCAUUUGUAACGAAGAAAAAUGAGUCAAUGAACCAAACUUGUAGUUCAGUAAAUUUCUUCUACAUCUCAAUUUGCUUCACAUUUACUGGGAUUUCCCAUAUUCACCGCUUUCUUAAUCUGACAAGUCACCGUUUCCUAAGAACCAAUAUAAUAGGUUGGUUGCACCCAUUGGACAGGGUGAAAACUUGGUCUAACAUUGAUAGCACCUGUGUGCUAUGCGGAUAACAUGAAGAAUCUCGAAUGUACUUGCUCUUUAAGUGUGUAUUCUUAAAGCAGAUUUUGGAAACAAGACUCUUACCGCUGAUGUUAAGUGUUUGUGGAGAAAUUGGCGAGUUCUUGUUGGCUAGCUUUGCUGUAAUCCGGUGGCAUGGUAUUUGAGGUUGCAUCUUGUUUUUCUGGGUAGUAUUUUACUGUUGCUACUGGUAGUGUACAUGGGGAAGACUAUUAUGUAAUCCGCCGGCCACCUCCCCCUUUCGGGAGAGAACCUUCAUCUUCCUGUAACCUAGGGGAAGGCAUCGCGGGAAUCUGGGCGGCCUGCCCUUACCCCCCGUAAGGGGGGUUUGUGGCCGGGUCAGGCCAUGGGGCCGGUAUCUUUAUCGAGGCCCGGAUCCUGACCUCUAUCCAGUCAUGGUAUUUGAGUUUGCAUCUUGUUUUUCUGGGUAGUAUUUUGCUGUUGCUACUGGUAGUGUAGAUGGGGAAGACUAUUAUGUCAUGUUGUCAUUCGGUGCGCGGGGUCAUCAGCUUGAAAGUCAACCUGAUGAAUUGUUCUCAAGUUAUCAAGCUUUCCUAUUAUGAUAGAUUGCUCAAAGGGAUCUCCCAUCCUUUACAUCGAGCAGGAACGAAAGUUCCCCUUAGUGAUGGACAGUGCCAAGUAGAAGGGCAGUUGCUCAACAGAUAAAUGUUACUUUAGGGAUAGCAGACUAAUCUUAUCCAAAAGUUCACAAAUACAGGAAGGUUUGGCACCAUGAUCCAGCUGUAUAUGUGGGACAGUAUGCUGCAAUGGACUUGUACGGGAUGUGACCUCCCUUGUUUUUUUUUUUUUUCCACAGGUUGUCCAAUAAAAUGAAGACUUAAUAAAAAAAGAUAGUGUAAAUUUUGUGCUCAAUGAAUAAAAAAAGAUAGUGUAAAAAAAGAAAAAAGAAUGCGGUUCAAACAGUCAACGACACGUGGAAAUUUUAUAUACUCUAUUCAUCUUACCAGUUUCCGAAAACCAUUCUCCAAUGAGCUUAUCCGUUGCUGCAUUGCUUUGAGAGGACUCUCCAUAUUCUCCACCGAGCUACACCAUGGAAAUUGACACCGUGAACAACUGCUGUCUUGUGGACUCAUUCAUACAAAUAGACAAAUAUCCAUUCAUAACACUUUAGGUACUAGUGCAUGUGAAUGUCAGAAUCAAUUACCAGACUAAUCAGAUGCAUUCCCUUGAUCUAACGCGACAUAGAAAAGUCAACAUAAAGCUGGGAUACAUAUUAAUCCAGUUCAUAGAUAGCAGAAGCAAGUAAAGUUAGUUAGCAGCUAUCUCUAAAUGCACCACUUUCAGCGAUAAAAAGAGGAAAAAAAAUAAAGAAAAGCUAUGCGCAGGUAUGACACUUUGCCAAACAGAAUCAUGGAUUGAUGGCACAUGAUACUUGAUGAUUUUUUUAGUUGGAGAGACAAUAUGGAUCACAAUUCUACUAGAGGAAUCACUUGAUGCAUAUAAGAUACUGCCAACAAACCAAUUGAACUAUAUUCACCUUUGAAGAUUGUUAGCCCAGCGAGAUAUAAGAAGCUCCACCACUUUUCCGAUCUGUCCAGCAAAGAGCAAUAGAAGAACAUAAGCAAAAAUCAUCUGUCAUGUAUCCGUCACAUUCUAGUUUCACAUCACAGAUAUCUUUUUGUCCUACUACGUGCAAACUGUCAUUGACCACAUAUUCCAGGAUUCAAGCAGAUAAUUAUGUCCAGGGCACUUCUUUGAAAUUUUGUAUCUUCUUUUGAUCCAUACUCUCCAUAACAACAUGAAAAGCCUAAAUCAUGUUCUCAGCAGAAACUUUUCACACGAAAACCCCAGAAUUGUCAGCAGGUCAUUUUUACCACUCAAACAAUAGUUCUCUAUAUAUCUUGCAGCAAGUUACUCAUGCGGAUUUCUAUCCAGAAACUGACUGGACUUCUAAUCGAAGAAAUCAGCAAUCGAUAUACAAUGACAACAGUAUUUGUAUGUCCAAGUAGGCUACUUUACUUGUCUUACCUCUCUCUGGCCAUCCUCCAACAUAAAACAACUACUUGGCACGAAACCCCUCUCAGACCCUUUCCAUUCUUGACUGUGUGGAGAUCAGCAAAAGAAAGAACAAAAAAAGGCAAGAUAGGAUAAUUUAGCAAGCAGGAGAGCAAAGGGAAUGAUAACAGAUCACUUGCUAGGUAAAAAAAUCUAACAGGGUUCAAUUCCAAUAAGAAGAAAGUCCUGCAACUGGCGUAAUGCGAAAUCGCAUGGCAGAUUCAAGACGACAACAUUUGAUAUAUGUAAUUUUUCACAUUAAAAGUGUGUUUGUUUCACGGAAGACGUAAUGUUUUUAAAAAAUGUUUUCCGGGAAACCAUUUUCUAAGAAAAUGGUUAGUUUUCCUUUGUUUGGUAAUACAUAACUGAAAGUAUUUUCUGAUAUUUGGAUCGCAUUUGAAAAAUGAUUUAACAAUUGACAAUACUGUGCCUCUUACUUCUAAAUUAAUUUAUUGAGUCCAUGUUACUUUAUAAACAGAUUUUUCUUGAUCGGAUUAGUAAAUCUAGAAUUUGAACCUGUAAAAUGAAAAGGAAACCUAAAUUCACAUGUAUUUUUUUUUUCCUGAAAAUGGACAUGAUUUGAGAUCUUUUAUAUAUAACAUUAUAUUAAUUUGUAUUUUUUCAUGAUAUUAAGUAGGAAGUAAAGGAAGCAAAAAGAAAGAAAAAGGGAGAAAGGAGGAAAAAAUCACCAUCUAUCCAUAUAAUCGGCACUAGCAAGCUAAAAUCUCUUUCUUUCCUUUUCUUAUUAUAGAUUUGAAUGUUUCAAAAGGUUGUGCUUCUCUUUAAAUAAGAGGCAAGAAACUUGGAAAAUAAAUAAAAGAAAUACAUCUAAAAAGAAAAUAAAAAAAUCUUAGAAGAAACGGUCCUUUUCCAGCAUAGACAUAAAUCGAUCCCCCAAAUUUGAAGCCCCCGCUGGCGCACGACCAUCCAAAAAUCAAAUCCAUUUUCCGCUCAAAAUUACCAAAAAAAAAAAAACCCACCAAAUAAAAAAUUAAAAAAAUGGGCUGUACACACACCGAACUCCCUCUCUCUCUCUUUCUCUCUCUAGCCCGACGACACCGAUGGCCGACCCGUCCUCCUCGCUGCCCCCUCCUCCGAUCCCUAGCCUCCUCCUCCCGCCAUACUCGCCGCCGCCUCCGCCUCCGCCCCCCGGCCCGGAGCAGCCGCCGCCGCCAUAGCAGCAGCAGCUGCGGAUCCUCUUCUCGUUCCCGAAGCGGCCGGCCCUCCGGGUCACAUCCGAGUACGACAGUGACAGCUCCGUCUUCCUCCAAAAGGUCUCGUGUAAGCUCCUCGACGGCCUCGCCAAGCUCAAGCUCUCCUUCUGCUACGACCGGAAGGGCGAGGUCGCGGAGCUCCGGCUAGCCUUCGUCUCCAAGCACCUCUCCCUCCACUACGACGUCGAAAAAGCGAAAGAACCUAGAAUCGUGUUGAGCAUCGUUGAAGAAGAGCCAGACCUUCAAUGAUGAAGUAGAUCUGGACCUUCAAUGGCAAAGAAGGUGCGCGUCGUUGAAAAAGAGCCGAAGGAGAAAGAUGAGAGCGGUGUACCUCUAAAAUAUUUGGAGAGGAAAAGUGAAAGGUCACGGAGAAAAAAUGAAAAUGGAAAGUGUUUGCACCUUAGCGGGGGAAUUCGUUUUCCUAAAAUAAUAGAUAACAUUUGUGUUGACAGGAAAGUAUUUUUCGUUGAUCAAAUUUUUUUUAGAGAACCAAAUGACUGAAAAUCCAAAAAAUACUUUCUCGUAAAAUAGUUUCAGUGAAACAAACACACCUUGAAGCCGUAGCACAACCCCACAAACAAAUGCUAACAAAAUGCUAUACUUCGACGCAGGCUUCGAUCUGACCGAAAAAAAAGAACUUCAGACUUCACAUCUUCAACUUGAGCUCGAGCAAAUCAUCAAACAAUUAAUCAAGCAUUGAAACAUUUAAGACGGAAAGAGCGAGCCUACAUGUUUUGAUCCAAGCAUGGCCUCUUCGAUCCACUUGGUUCACCCAAAAAAAGUGGAAUCCGAAGCUCUCUUUUGCGUGGACAUAAUUUUUCUUUUCUUUUGUAGAGUUUGACCAGAACUGAGAAAGUGUCGGAAUUUUGGGGGUGUUCACUCGCUGAAAGAAUGUUGCUUGUACAGCUUAAUAAGAACUGAGAAAGUGUCCGGAUUUUGGGAGCGUUCGCUCGAAAGAAUGUUGCAGAGAAAAGAACAAAUCAGUAGACAGUUUAUCCGCGAAAUCAAACUCAAGAGGGCAGAGAGAGAGAGAGAGGGAGAGGUUGCACGCAGGUCGGUUGUUUAUGGUCAUCUCGCCGGUAUCCUCCUGGUUCAUCGGUUGCUCACGGUGAUUUGCCGGUCGGAAAGAGGGAGGGUGGAGAGAGAGAGGGAGUUCAUCGGACAUAGAGAGCGAGGGUAGAGAGAGAUACGUGAAGAAAGAAAGUCAAGACUGAAAUUUUUUUAAAUUAGCGCAUCUUUUUCUCUCCUGAACGGGGGUCCGCAAAGACACGUGUCAUGUUCCCACCGCCUUUUUGUUGGACACGAUCCAGCACCAAACGUACCUAUUAUUUUCUUGAGGAGGGGGCGCACAAAUUUUGAAUCCCCGCCCGCCUAUGUGGAGUCACGUGUCGACUUUUGAAUGGUCUUACCCUUCACUUAUGUGGAGUGUAAGACUCUGCCAAUAUUUUUAUUUCUAAUUCUCAUUUUUUAAAAUUUUAAAAUUUCCUUUUUUUUGCUUUUUUGUUUUUAGAAAAGAAAAUAAAAUGAUAAAUAACAAAAAUACAUUUGACUAGUCAGUGAUGUCAGAAGCCCUUCUCUAAGAUAAAUGUGAUUAUUUUGGAUCAUUAUUCGAAAUAAAGUCAAUUUCAAAUUCUUUAUUUGAAAUUUUCUUCUAAACUUGGAUUAGGUUUUCUACCAAAGAGAGAGAAAUGGACAUAUGGUGCUCGCUGGUCGUGGCUUAAGAAGGCAACUGUUUGCAUUUUGUGGGGAUACGUAGUUUCCAUUAUCUUCCACGUCAUUAGAAAAACCAUGGGUUUGUCUUGCUCCCCAAGCAGGCAAAAAGUUCUCCUUUGCCAGCGCUGACGAUAGCCUAUUACGUGCCCUUUAAACAGGAUCACGAGAGUAGGCCUAUGAGUAAGACAAUCAGCCAUCGACACGUCACUCCACAGCCGUUCAAAAUGAUCACAACCAAAACACCUGCAGCCCAAACGCCCCGCCUCAUUUCUCUCUCUCGAAAAAAUCACUACCAGUCUCCCUGUUCUAUCCCCCCGCCCGUUCAUGGAGUCGUCAAUGUCCAGCUCCAACUCGACGCCAGACCCUAAAUAACUCCUCCGAAGCACCCACCCCCGUCAGCUGCUUUCCGAACUAGAGGCGAUGAUUUUCUCAAGGAUCGGCCGUUCGUUGUCGAGAUCUUCCCGCUCGAGGGUUCGUCGUCGUGCCUCCAUUUCUUCCCCUCUUUUCUUCUUCGUUCUUCCCGAGUCGAUUCGUUUAUUCCUUUUGCGAAUGUAUUAGAUUUUGUCUUCGCGUAUCGAUUGGUUUCGUUGUCCUCCGGUUGUAGAACGCAUUGUGCCGUGGCGGUGUACGAUCGGGCCCGUUGAAGGGCGCGUCAUUGGGAACGUCGCGCCUGGACGGUGCGCUCGGCGGAUUGGAUGGGAAGUUAGGGUUUGUCAGGGAAUACUUAGCUUCUGCCGGGGCUAUCAAGGCGUUCUCUGCUAAAUCUUAUUUAUCCCAUCUAAAUCGCGUUCUUGCUAAUCCCAGAGUCCACAGGUUUUUCUCCAGCGAAGUCCCGAAAAAGAAGAGUAAGUACAUUCUUCGUCGCGUUGAACCGUUCAAUCUCUGCCGAAACAAAGCUGGCGUCUUUCUUUAGCAGUCGCAGUCGAGAAGUUUUUGGUGUUUGCAAGUGUUGUCUUUGAGAGCUUUUUGGCUUUUGAACUCCGUGAAAAUGAGCUAAAUAAGUGAGUGGGUUUUGUUUUAUUGUGAUCUCUCAUAUAUCUGAUGUUAUUUCGCAGAUUAUGAGAAUUUCUAUCCGAAGGGGAGGAAGGAAGUUCCAAAAGGAGAUAAACAAAAAUCAGAGUCCAAAGGUAGAUUUUUUUUUCUCCAUGGUACAAAUUUCUAUGUGUGCAUUGAAAUCUUUGUUUUGGUCUGCCUUUUUGUCUUAUACCCUUUUCAUUGAAUUGAUUUGUCUAUUGGUUUCAUUCCGAUAAUCAGGUAUAUAAAAUUUCACAUUUGGGGUGACCAUUCACUGUCGAUCUUUGCUACAUCAUUUGUUGUUUGAUGAACAAUCGCCUGGCACUUAACUAGAGUAUGUGGUCAUGCUGGAUUGUUUACAUAUAAGCCACAUUCUGUAGUUUCAAGUUGGGCUUUCUGUCUGUUGCAACAUUGGAUUUGUUUCUUUAUAUCCUAUACGUAUGUCUUAUGUGAAGUUUUUGUCUCGCUUGGGAGGGUGUUGAUGUGAAAGUUUAGGGGAUUAGUUCUAGCUUCUCAGGACUUAACAAACUGUCUAAUGAGCAUGCUAAAGACAUAAUGUUGGUGGCUGCUUGCCUUCUAGGAGGUGUUCUCCUAGACCAUUAUUUUAGUUGGACAAUUCCUUUCCUGCUUGUACCCUUAAGCACUGUUAUGGGAAAGUACCUAUAUCAUGGGUAGAGACUGAGGCCCUUUUGGCUAAAUUGGUUGAGAUUGAGGAGUCGUUCUAAGAUGGACCCGAAGAAUGGUAACUUAAGUAAUUGCAGUAGGAUGAAAUUUGGUUGAGUGAAGAAAUGAGUUCGUUUAUGUAGGCAAUUUUCGAACCAGAUUGUUCUUUCUUGUCUGGAAUAGGAAAUGCAUGUUUGUUAUUUGCCCCUCAGUUGGUAUUCCUUACAAUACUAACAUUCACUUGAGUUUAGAUGCAAAGAUGGUUAUAUGGAUCGCAAAAUGAAUUAUAUGCACACUUCCACGCACUGCAUUGUAGUUCUUUCCAGCUUUCCACUCAAAUAAAUCUAUGUAAGGCAGUUCCCUUAAAGUUUUUACCCAAUUUUCAGGGGAUUCGAACACAGAUGAUAAUCAGGAGACUUUCAUGAAACAGUUCCAGAAUUUGAUCACGCCCUUGGUCGUGAUUGGACUGUUCCUUUCCUCCUUUUCCUUUGGUCCUCGUGAACAACAGCAGGUAGAUCUGCUAAUGAGCUUGCUGAUUUAUUUUUAUUUUUAUUUUUAUUUUUAUUUGCCAUAAUGUGCAUGCUUAGGUUCUUCUUCUUCUUCUUUUUUCCCAUGUUCAUAUUAUGCUGGUUGAACUGUGAUCUUUUUCUGAUUGGGGACAUGUAUGCGAUCUCCUCGUUACAGCAGUGCAAUCACGAUUGAGUCAUCUACAGACCAGAGAUUUAGCCUGUUUUCUUAUUCUUGUGUUUGUUGAAAAUUUAAAUUGCAGAUUAGCUUUCAAGAGUUCAAAAACAAGCUUCUGGAACCAGGCUUGGUGGACCAUAUAGUUGUUUCUAACAAAUCUGUAGCAAAAUUGUUUGUAAGAAAUUCACCAUCAAGUCAAACAAUUGAUGAGGUCAGUGAAGGACCCAAGAGUGGCAAUGGCAAUGUUGCAAGAGGGCAUGGAGGUCAGUAUAAGUACUACUUCAAUAUUGGAAGUGUUGAAUCUUUUGAAGAGAAAUUGGAGGAAGCCCAAGAAGCAUUAGGCGUUGACCCCCAUGAUUACGUUCCUGUCACUUAUGUCUCUGAGAUGCUCUGGUACCAAGAGAUAUUGAGAUUUGCACCGACUCUCCUGCUUUUGGGAUCACUCUUGUACAUGGGGCGGAGAAUGCAAGGCAGCCUUGGUGUUGGUGGCGGUAGUGGGAGGGGUGGGAGGGGUAUAUUUAACAUCGGAAAGGCUCAUGUUACUAAAGUGGAUAAAAAUGCCAAGAACAAGGUCAGUUUUAAAUGACAUAGUCGCCUUGCUUUCAUGCUGUAUCCUUUUCCUCUUUCUCCAUUUUGUUGUGGAAGGUUAAAGAUGUUUAAACCAGAAAAUAUGCGUCCUGUUUCAAUUCUGACUAGGUAUUCUUUAAAGAUGUUGCCGGCUGUGAUGAAGCUAAGCAAGAAAUUAUGGAGUUUGUACAUUUUCUCAAGAAUCCGAAGAAAUAUGAAGAAUUGGGAGCAAAGAUUCCAAAAGGCGCCCUUCUUGUUGGUCCCCCAGGUACAGGGAAGACUCUUUUAGCGAAAGCAACUGCUGGAGAGUCUGGUGUGCCAUUCCUAUCUAUGGCAGGUUCCGAUUUCAUGGAGAUGUUUGUUGGUGUUGGGCCUUCAAGAGUGAGAAACUUAUUUCAUGAAGCAAGACAGUGUGCUCCUAGCAUAAUAUUUAUUGAUGAAAUUGAUGCAAUUGGUCGAGCAAGAGGACGUGGAGGUUUUUCAGGUGGCAAUGAUGAGCGUGAGAGCACACUCAACCAGUUGCUCGUAGAAAUGGAUGGCUUUGGUACCACCUCAGGGAUAGUCGUGCUUGCUGGCACUAAUAGGCCUGACAUCUUGGACAAAGCCUUGUUGAGGCCUGGUCGAUUCGAUAGGCAAAUCGCCAUUGAUAAACCUGAUAUCAAAGGCCGUGAACAAAUAUUCCAGAUAUACCUGAAAAAGAUAAAGCUUGAUCGUGAACCUUUGUAUUAUUCACAAAGGCUUGCAGCCCUUACACCUGGAUUUGCUGGAGCGGACAUAGCUAAUGUUUGUAAUGAAGCUGCUCUCAUUGCUGCCAGGAAUGAGUCAACUAAGGUCACCAUGGAACAUUUUGAGGCAGCUAUAGAUAGGAUUAUAGGUGGUUUGGAGAAGAAGAACUUGGUAACGUAGCUUCUCUCUUUUCCACUCCAUCAUGCCGGUUCUUGGUCUCUUCUUAUUUUUUCUAUUUCAGCAACACUGUUCUCUUGCACACGUGUUUUUUGUUUCUAGGAGCCUCUCUCACAAUGACCCAACUAAGAAUUCCAUAUUGUCUUUGGCUGGCUUGCUAUGCUGACUGCUUAUUGAAUGGAAACCAUCAUAGCUUGUCUUCACUGAUGAUUGAGAUGGGUGUGUUAUUAGGUUGUUCCAACUGAUGCUUUUUGGUCUUAGCAUUUUCGUAUUCUUUUUACUCAUCUUCUCACGUGGUCAUUGGUUGAAAGUAAUCCUAGAAAAUUAUUUUGAUAAGCGUCACCAAACAGUGAGCUUGUGCUUCAGUUAUUGAUGCUUGUCUUCACACACGAUUUUUGUGCUGUUCAUGAUUUUAGUAUCACCAACAGUGAGAAUGUCUUUCUCUUGGCAAAUUCUUUGAUCCUUGAUCUUAUGGGUUUAGUUGCUUUUGGCACGGAUUGAUGUAAAUAUGAUUUCAAAUAUUGACUUUGUGAUUUGGACAUGUAUAAAAGUAGAUAAAUCAAUCUAAACUUUGGUUUUCGAGCAGGUAAUAAGCAAACUAGAACGUCGGACAGUUGCAUAUCAUGAGUCAGGUCAUGCUGUGGCUGGUUGGUUCUUGGAGCAUACAGAGCCUUUACUGAAAGUGACAAUAGUCCCUCGCGGCACGGCUAAUCUAGGAUUUGCCCAAUAUGUGCCUAAUGAGGAUCUUCUCGUGACCAAGGAACAGCUUUUCGACAGGACAUGUAUGGCCCUUGGCGGACGAGCAGCUGAACAGGUGAUUUAUGGGCCUUCAUAUUUGUUCUUCACUUUAUGGAUAGCAGAAAUGCAUUAAAUUUUUUCUUUCCAUCUUUGCCCGUUGAAUUGACGAAGAUCAACGAGGCAAAUAUGUUCUUGUAAGGUUCUAAUCUUUAAACCUCGAUGCUGUUGAGUUGAAUAUUCAUGUAAUUUGCAGGUUUUGUUGGGUAAAAUAACAACGGGAGCUCGAAGUGACUUGGAGGGGGUGACGAAAGCAACAUAUGCCCAGGUAGCAGUAUAUGGCUUCAGCGACAAGGUGGGACUCCUCUCCUUUCCUCAGGGAUAUGAGAUGACCAAGCCCUACAGCAGCAAGACUGCAGCAAUUAUUGAUAGUGAGGUGCGUGAGUGGGUAACCAAGGCAUAUGAGCAUACAUUGGAGCUAAUAACGGAGCACAAAGAGCAUGUUGCUCAGAUUGCUGAGCUGUUGCUCGAAAAGGAAGUUCUUCAUCAUGAAGAUUUGCUCCGUGUUUUAGGCGAGCGACCAUUUAAAUCGAGUGAGGUGACCAAUUAUGACAGAUAUAAGCUAGGGUUUCUAGAGGAAGAGAAGAGUGCAGAGACUUCAGAGACUGAUGUAGUGGAGGAUGACGAAUCGCCUCCUCCUUUGGAUCCACAGGUAGUCCCAACUUAGUUCUCAGGAAUUCCCGCUGAGACUAUUUUUGUAAAUGAUUUGGAUCGUUUCCCGAAGUCUUUGCUGGAGCAAAAAGAGAAAAUAAAGCUGGACAUUGCAUUGCAGCGUUCUAUAUUUAUCUUCUGAAAUAAUUCUGAAAGAAAUCUGGGAUUGCAUUUCCAUAUUGUUGCGGUAUUGAAUUCUUUCAUCGUCUUUACAUGCCACUAGACCUGUUAAACGGGUGGGUCGGGUCGGGUUUGGGUCGGGUCAUAAAUGGUCCGACCCAAAGCGAUCCAUUUAACCCGUUUAUAACCCAUUUAUUGCAGUGCAAAUUUUUUGACCCAUACCCGACCCGACCCAUACCCAACUCAUACCCGACUCUUUUAACAAAACAUAAAAAAGCUUUUAUAUAUAUAUAUAUAUAUAUAUAUAUAUAUAUAUAUAUAUAUAUAUAUUAAAAUGGUAUUGCUAACAUGAUUUUAUACAAUAUAAAUUUAAAAAAUAAUUAUUUAAAAAAUCGAAUUUUAAUUAUUUUUUAUUUAAAAAAAAUUAAAUUUAAAAUUUUUUUAUUUUAAAAAAAUUAAAAUUUUAAUUAUUUUUAAUUAUCUUUUUCUUUUUUCUUUUUUCUUCUUCCUCUUCUUUGGCGGGCCGCCGGCCACAACGUCGGCCGGCGACCGGCCACAGGCGAGCUGGCUCGCCCAGCUCGCUGACGCCGGCGAGCUCGAGCUCGCCCCUUGCCGGAUCUGGCGAGGUUGGAGCCUCGCCCGACGCCGACGAGUUCGAGUCUCGCCCGAUCGGCGAGGCUCGGGCCUCAGCGAACGUCGGCGAGGCCUCCGCCUCGCCAGAUCGGCGAGCUCGAGCCUUGCCGGACGUCGGCGAGGCCUUCGCCUCGCCAGAUCUGGCGAGCUCGAGGCUCGUCGGCGUCGAGCAAGCUCGAGCUCGCCCCUCGCCAGAUCUGGCGAGGCUCGGGCCUCAGCGGACGUCGGCGAGGCCUCCGCCUCGCCAGAUCGGCGAGCUCGCCCCUCGCCAGAUCAGCGAGGCCUCCGCCUGGCCAAAUCCGGCGAGCUCGAGCUCGCCCGACGCCGGCAAGCUCGAGGCUCGCCUGGCCGGUCGCCGGCCAUCGCCGUGCCAACAACCGGAGUUAGAAGAAAGAAAAAAAAAAAAAAAGGAAAGAAAAAAUAAUUAUAAUUUUGAUUUUUAUAAAAAAAAUUGUAAAAUUAAAGAGAAGAGAGAGAGAUAAUGAGGUUUUGAGUGAAAAAUGGGUUGAUAAAUGGGUUAGAGGGCUGACCCGUUUAAAACCCAUAUAUCUUAGUGUUUACCCAUUAAAAUUUAUUAUGGGUGCUUUAUAAGAUAAAGCUUGACCCAUUAAUGACCCAUUUAACCAUAAAUGGGUCCAUAAUAAAUGGGUCCAUAAAUGGGUUGUGCAACCAACAACCCAUUUAACACCUCUACAUGCCACCAAGCGCAUUGUCAUCUCACGUGGAAUUCAGUUCUACGAAUCAAGUACACGUGGCAUGGACAGAGGAGGCAAAUAUGAGUUUAUCUUCAUGAGAAGUGGGUACUUCAUGAUGGUUUCAGGGAAAGGCGAGAUCUCGCACGUGUAAUUACCAAUUCAUUCUUUUUGAUAACAGAUGCUGAUGGCGUCCCCUUCUUCAUUUGGUCGUGACGAUCCUUGAUGUGGUUGUUCAGGUUGCAUGAUGUGGCCUUCUCUGACAUUUUCGCUCAGGUGAGAGAAGGGAAAGGGACAUUUUGUCCCACGCUCUGUAGCGCACCCUAUUUUCAUCUUCUGCCUCAACAAAAGCUUUCUGAGAAACUUGAGAUUGCAUUUAGUCGGUGUGUCCCUGGCCGAUUUCCGACCCAGUAAAAAUUGACUAAGAAGGAAAGCGAUAAAAUGAUCCUUCAACCUCCCCCCACCUUUCCAUGAAAGGGCUCGAAGAAAGAGUCCAUCACAGGCGUGGUAUACGUCAUGGCGGACGCCUAAUCGCAGCGGCGAUAGAAAAAUCGAAUGUAAUUGCACUUUUGUGUCGUUGCACGUUGCGAAGCCCACGCUAAUUUUUUAAGCAGGAGAAAAUUACCGGCGCAUGCUCAAGUACAUGCAAUGAUUUCGCUUGUCGUAAGGUUCAAGUAUUUAUUCACAAAUUAAAAAAAAAUAACUAAAUAAAAAAUUCAGAAGCAAGCAAAGCCGGCAGUCUCUUCGGUCGGGCCCCGAGAGUCAACUAAUUCUCAGAUAUACAUUGACACUGAAGAAAGAAACCUAGUUUGAUGCGCAUAUUCAGAUCGAAGGUUAUCCGCAUCCCACUGGUCGAACUAUAUUAAACUCGUUCCUCCAUUACCCACCUAAAUAUCCCUCGCUGCGUUCGUAAUGACUUGCGUAUGUGAAGAUGUAGGUGGCAUGCAGAUUGUCAACUAAUCUUUCCCUUCGUGUGAUAAUACAACUCAGAAUUGAAUAAAGGGUAUUUGGUGAGUAUCCCCGUGAGGAAAUGCAAUCAUAUUUGAAAAUGCCUAAAAAAACUUUCUAAUCCUUUUUUUUUGUGUGUGGUUGCUUGAUAUAUUUUAUAAAGGUGAUUGUUAAUAAGAUUAAUUACUACAAAAGAUCCCAAGUUAAAAAACCUCAAGUUGGUAUAUCUAUGAUAAAUUUUCUCGAAAUUAAUUUUUUGACCUCAAGAAACUUUAAACUAACACAUUUAUGAUAAAUUUACCUUUUGUUAGUUUGGUUGCAAGAUCGAACAAUCCAAUAAUAAAUUAGAUAAAAUAAGAAAAUAGAUUUACGUAGUCUAUAAAGAGAACAACGACAAAUUUCACUAUAAUUCAUGUGAUAUAACAUAGAUUAUAACUACAUUUGAAUCACUUAAACACUCUUGGUGUUUCCUAAGCUCCAAUGACAUCAAAUAACGCAUGUAGUGUUUUACCCCAUAACUCCUUACUAAGUAAUCUCUUAAUCUCUCCGACCAAAAAAAAAAAAAAUCUCUUAAUCUCACGAAAAUCAAAUACUUAUUAUAAGAAUUUAAUUAGCUAUAAACACUUGUAUUCUUCUUUGAUUCCAUGCAUGAAGGAUGAUGCCGAGGAUAUAAUUAUCACGAAUUUCCCUCUAUCAAGCCACGAGUUUACCCCAUAAUUCCUUACUAGGUAAUCUCUUAAUCUCACGAAAGAAUUAUAUACAAAUUCUUAUUAUAAGAAUUUAAUUAGCUAUAAACACUUGUAUUCUUCUUCGAUUCCAUGCAUGAAGGAUGAUGCCCAGGAUAUAAUUAUCACAAAUAGGGGUGAUCGGGGGAAAAUUACCAAAAAAGUCCUAAACCUAUUGUAAUUGUGCCAAUUCAGUCCUAAUUUUUUUUUUUUGGCCAAUUUAGUCUUAAACCUUUUACAAUUGUGCCAAUUCGGUCCAUCCGACCAAAAUUGGCCAGUUAGAGCUAACAUAGACCGGCAAAUGCUAACGUGACAUUUUUAAUUUUUUUUAUUUUUAUUUUCAAAUUUUUAAUUUUUUUUUUGGAAUUUUUUAAUUCUUUUUUUUUCCAUCAUCUUGUUCGCCUCCUGGCUGGCUGGCACCGGUUGGAGGCGAGGGCCAGCGAGGUCAGCCUCGCCGGCCAUUGGCGAGGGUGAGGCCCCGCCAAAUCCGGCGAGCUUGGCCCUCACCAGAUCCGGUAGGGCCUUGCCCAGCCAAGGCAAGGGUCGACCUCGCCAGUGGCCGGCGAGGCGACCUCCUCAACAGGAGGAUCUAUGGGUGGCUAUCCCUCUCUCUCUCUCUCGUUUGAAGUUGUGAGCGCUCGCUUGGAACCAUUCUCUCUCUCCACCUCAAUCCAUGCCUUGCGAUUGCGCCUUCGGAGUGCGAGCAAGCUCGCGGCUUCUGAUUGCCGCUGCAUUGUGGACGGCGGGUGAGGAGCCUCGCCAGCCACUGGCGAGGUUGACCCCUCGCCUUGACUGGGCGAGGCCCUGCCGGAUCUGGCGGGGCCUUGCCCUCGCUGGCCCUUGCCUUCGGCUGGCGGGGGCGAGCCUCGCCAUUGGCCGGCGAGGCUGACCUCGCUGGCCCUCGCCUUCGGCCGGCUAGGAGGCGAAGAAGAUGAUGGAAAAAAAAGAAUUAAAAAAUUCCAAAAAAAUAUUUAAAAAUGCCAUGUUAGCAUUCGCCGGUCCACGUCAGCGUCGGCCGGCCAAUUUUAGCCAGAUGGACUGAAUUGACACAAUCGUAAAAGGUUUAGGACUAAAUUGGCAAAAAAAAAAAGUUUAAGACUGAAUUGGCACAAUUGCAAUAGGUUUAGGACUUUUUUGGUAAUUCUCCUGGUGAUCGGGUCCAGGGUGGGUAAGGUCUAGACCUGGACCCUAUUCCCGACCCUAUUAUAACCGGUUCUCUUUUUUUGGACCCUGUUCCCUACCCUGUUUGCAUUGGACCCUGUUCUCGACCCACCCUGUUUUUCUGGUCUGGGAACGAGGUUGACCCUGUUUAUAUUGGAACCUAUGUUGCAAAAUUUUUCUGAACGUGCACAUUUCACAUCUUGCUAGUAAACUGCAAUAAGCAAACUUCGCCAGCUGUAUCAAGUUUAAUAGAUGGCUCAAGAAAGGAUUUUAGUUCGCUCAUAACUAGUAAAGAUCGAGAAAGACUUCAAAGACCUACGAUUUGAUUUUCCCUUUCCGUUUUGCUCCGCAUACAAUCUAACUUUCCUUGAAGAAGUAAAGGACGAAAUACACAAAGGAAAACUCCAAAAUUUUACUCAACCUAAUGCUAUACAAGGAACUCUAUUCUUCACUUCUCGAUCAUCUAAAUUGAUCCCAUCUUCAAUCUCAGUGCUUAGCAUCAUCACUUCAUGAUCUUGGAGUCUAUGCUGAAGCCAUUUACACGCAGGCAUGUACUCAGUAGCUAUUACUGACGUAUCAAUUGAGCUAACUCCAUUAUAAACCAUGAAUCUCUGUCUUAACAUCUCAUCCUGCAGCCAAACCGUGACAAGAUUUCAAAGGUAUAAAUUUUGCAUGGCCAGAAAAAUAAUGGCUAAAAAUUCAUCCAACAUACUUUCUAUUAUCUUUGUCACGAACAAGAAUUACAAGCUUCACAUAAUACUCCCUGUGGAAAAACAAAAAGCCUGCAUUUCGUUGAUAACUCAUUUCGAUCAAGGAGUUUGUACACGAAUAUGAAUCGGCGAUUCACUUUUAGAUCAUCACAACAACAUUGGAGAAAGCUUAAAUCCUUAAUAGAACCUCAAUCGUGGUCGAUUUUCACACAAAUAGUAACAAUUUUACCUUGAUGAUGUGCGAUUGUAGCCACGAUCAGUUGUUGAACUUACAAAAAGGAGUCCCGGGUGUGUUGCCUAUGAUGAUCGGACCUGACAAAGGAGGAUUAAGUGAGUGCAAGGCACUUCAAGAUCUCUGAACAAAAAAUAGAGCAGAAUAGGGAGAUGCGAUCAGUGAAGCUCGGGAGGAGUGGCUUUGAUGGGUCGCGACUUCGGCAUCUUUUUGUCAAUACUUCAUUUCAUCUCUCUGACCUGGCUGAGCUCAAAGCGACCAGAGGUGGAGGCGCCUCGGUUGACGGAGAUUCGAAUGUUUGCGGCGGCCGAAGAUUGGACUGGAGUCGACGUCGUAGGUUCAAUCGAGAGUAUACAGAAGAGUAUUCUCAUUCUUGGAGUCUUGAUGCUUCAGUGAAGAAAGGUCUGAGAGGGAGCAAAAAUCUCUCUUUUGCUCCACUUCCUCUUCGGCGAAUAGCACUGGUAGUGGUGGUGAUAGACCUGAAGCGUGGGGGGUCUAGCGGAUCAAUAUCUUCUUAAAAUACCAGAACAAAUCAAAAGAGCAAACACGACGGCACCGGCGCGGGGGUAAGUAGAACUAAUUAAUCGGCAGCUCAUGACAAAGAGUAAAAAUUGUGCUUACCAGCGACGGCCCUGGCGCGGGGGACAAGGACUUGCCGAACAGCUCGGCGGGGAGGAGGAUGUUGUCGACAGUGAAGGUCGCGACGGGGGUGGACUUGAGCACCAUGCUGGCCACCCGUGAGGAGUCGACCCUGAUGUCGAGACGAGGAGGCCCGCAAACCUCUUGCACCUAGCCUUCUUGAGCAGCGAGGUCGACAGCGCCGGGGUGGCGAGGAUGGCCGGGACCAAGAUGGGGGCACUGAUAUGGAGGAAGGCGAUGCUGCUUCUGCUCGGAUGGAUUGGUGGAGGUGAGACCGUGAGAGGCUGAGAGCGACGAGCGUGCUGCGUGAGAGUAAAGAUAGAAAGUUAGAAACAACUAGGGUUUUGUUUUGGGCCCCAAAAACCGGUUCAGUCAAUCUGGUUCCCGGGUGGAUAUUCCCUCGGAACCAGUUCUCGGACCGGUUCAAACAGGGUCUGAACUUUGGGAACCGAUUCCCGGCCUUGUUUUCCGGGUGGGCCGAACCGGAAACCGGGUUGACCCGAUCUGGUUGCACACCCCUAAUCACGGAUUUCCCUCUAUCAAGCCACGGGUAACACUGACGCACAUCAACAAUAGCCAUUUUAGGAGCCCACGAUAGAAUAUAUUUAUAGAUGCCCAAGGGUUGACCGAGUCAAAAUCCAACUCAAAGUCCAAGGUUGACUUUUCAAAUUUAACCAUUAUCUCCCGCGUUGGACUUCCCUUUUGAAGUUGUGAAGUCCAUGAAAAAUGACCACCAAGAAGGAAAUUACAUUGCCAAAAGAUAUUCACAAUUCGGUCCAAUUCCAAAUAUAUCGAUCUUUUCAACUUCGGUGGUGGCUGAAAACUCCAACACAUACUCGGAAACCAAAUUUCCAAGACUUGAUCUCUCAUUAAUUUAAUUUUCAAACUUCAAAUUUUUUGCUUUAGACUCAAAUUCAAGAUAUAUUUUAACAAUCUCCACUUUGGCUCGAUGUUUGAGCCAAGUCACAAUUAUUUCACUAAAAAUUCAAACUUUGCUGUUAUUUUCCUAUAACCCCGUGGAUUCAACUGCCACAUAUAUUUUCUAAAUCCAAACCCACUUGAAUUUCACCAAAAUCGAGGACCUCAUUAGAAUAUCAAUUUCACAUGCACAUUUGACUACUCUAUAAGGAUCUUUUGACACAACCUCAUCUACCACAGGUAAAGCAAAACCAUUGUUGUAUCCAUACCUAUUAAGAGAUUGAACACGUAACCUACAACAACUGUUCCCUCUACAAACUCUAUUUUGCCAUGAACACUAUUUAUGUCAAUUACUCCGUUAGUACUAGCUACCUCAAGAGUUUCUAGUUGCAACUCCACUGUUCAAAUUUGCAUAAACAUUGUUAAUAACACUCCCCCUCAAAAUUACUAUAGACUCAUUAAAUGUAAUUUCUCUAUUGAUAACAUGUGAAUUUAAUUCCGAAAAUCAUAACUUAUAGUUCCGCUUACCUUGUGCAUAACUCUGGAACAUGCACUUUAUUAGCCUUCCAUCGAGCUUCUCAUCACUAAAUCAAAUAUAAAAUGAACAAGCAAGUAUUCUAGGAAUAGAAUAAUCAACAUCGUUGCCUAACCACACUUUUUUAGGAGUCUAACAUCUAAUUGCAGUUGAUGCUGAUCUAUUUAUUAGGUAGCUUGCCCAUCUAACCACAUCUAUCAUGAAUCUUCUACUUUUACCAGUACUAGAGAGUAUUUUAUGUGUUGUCUCUAAUAACGUUUUGCUUAUUAAUUCCGUAACAUGUCGUGGUUAAUUGGCAUUAAUACGAUAUUUCACUAUACCUUCCUUAACACAGAAUUCCUAUAAUAAUUUCAAACAAAACUUCAUGCUACUAUCAGUUUGCAUAUGCUUGAUCAUUUUAAUAGUCUUAUUUUUUUUUUUUUUAUCAUAACUCUCAACUGCUUUAUCCUGACAACAAUAUCAAAUUUGUGCCUAAGCAUAAAUACUCACGUCUUCCUUUAGUAAUCAUCUACAAUUUUCAGCAUAAAUCUAGCACUCUUCACUGUGAUAAUCUGCGAAUAUUCAAGUGAAUUAACUUUGCAAUUUCCAUGGAUUCUUUGAUUGUUGUACUGAAUUGCACUUUCCGUCGUAGAUUUAAAUCAUAACACAUGUAUAAAUUCAAUUCAUUAGCAACAUAACCACAUAGCAAAUUUAUUUCACUUAAAACCUUUAGGCUUCUCUCAUUAAAGUGCCCAAAGCACAUAUGCUACAACUUAGAUUCUAGAAUAGAUGCAUCUAAUGUCCUUGCAGUGAAAUCCAUCACCAUUUUACCUUAAAGUUCAUACAUGCCAUUGCACUUGAAUCAUCUCAUUAUUACCAAAAUAUCUUGAACAAUUUUCAGAAUUCCACAUUCUAAAAUGUAACAACACCCAGCUGAAUCUAGGGCUCUCAAGGAAAUUGGGUUUUUCCUCAACUUUGAAAUACAUACUACUCCAUUCAAUAUUCUUACAAUACCAUCAUGCAUUAUGAUUCUAAUAUUGCCAACAUCUACAAGAUUGCACUCUACGUUGUUCCCCAAUUUGACUUUACCAUUAUUAUUAUUAUUAUUAUUAUUAUUUUGGUAAGGGUAAGAAUGAAUAAAUAACUUUAACCACAAUACAAAAGAACAACGCCAAAAACAACCACUCAUAGUGACAACAAGUCAUAAUGAAUGGAAGGGAGCCGAUGUAAAAGAAAGAAGCCCAAAGGAAAGGAGAGCAAACAAACUAUCAAAAAAGAGCCAAGUCAAGAGACAAGUAAGAAAGCUUGAAGGCACUCUAAGCAGGAGGAUCGAAAAUAGAAACAUCAAGACCCCAACAACGCUAAAGCCUCCUAUUCCUUGGGUGAUCCACUACAUUGCCGUAGGUAAGAGUCCUGUCCUUAACCACUUUGAUGAGAUGGUUCUUCAAAGUCGGCAGCUCCAAGGACUCCCCCUGAAAGAUGAUGCUGUUGCGCUUCUUCCAAAUCAAGUGACACAUGGCACCAAAAGAAAAACGGGCAAUACAAUGAAUAAAGUCCUUGCCGGGAAGGAAUUUCAGUGCCCAAAGAAGAUUCUCCGACCAGGACCUGUUUCUUCAUGGAAGAUUACAUCUCACGGCCAAAAAAAAAAAAAAAACGAGACUAGCCGAGACAUGGCAAUCAAAGAACAAGUGAUCAAUAGAAUCCGGUCUGAGGUUGCAAAAAGCACAAACUCCACUACUAAUCCUACCAUAUGAAAGAAGAAGAACCUAAGUGGGUAAGCGAUUGCGAAUAAUAAGCCAAAGAAUGAAUUGGAAUCUCGGAGCAAUUGAAUCAUUCUAGAUGAGUGAAGCCCAAGGAACAUGAUCCUUCUUCCUCCUAAUAUUAUUCCAAGCUAAGGUGACCGUGAAGACACCCGCAGAGCUUCCAUGCCAGGUAAACCUAUCCGGUACUCGAGAGAGGGCUGGAAGUGAGAAAUCCCCAUAUUCCAAGAUAGUCCUGAGCGCACCACCAUAGGGGAGAAAUAGAUCAGCAAGUGUCGUUUGUUUGGAGAAGCCUGAACUAUCCAUGAGGGAGUCCAAUAAAAAUAGGCUUAAAGGACCUUUCGGGUGCCAAUGGUCAAAUCAUAAAGACACGGAACAUCCAUCGCCAACUUUCCAAAGGAAUGAUAACCGAAACUCCUACCUUAGUUGCAGGAUCUUCUUCCAUGCCCAGGAGCACACAGUCGGAGUAUGUGAAACCCAGAAAUUCUCCUUUAAAAAGGUCGCGUGGAUCCAUUUACAUCAUAAUGACUCAUUGUCUGUAAAAAGAAUCCAUAUAUACUUGAGCAUCGCAACUUUGUUGCAAUCACACAACUUGCGAAUACCCAAUCCUCCUUCAAUCUUAGGGAGACAAACUUCAUCUUAAGCAACUUUUGCCCCACCAGGGCCAAGAUUAGGACAUUUCCAAAGAAAUUGCCUCAAAAUUUGUUCUAUACGAUCAAGCACCGAGCAUGGAAAAAUAAAAACACUAGCCCAAUAACUCUGGAUAGAGUGAAUGACUGACCUUAUCAAUUGAAGUCUGGUAGCAAAAGAGAGAAACCGCUGGGCCCAAGAAUGGACCCUGGCCGUGAUGCGAUCAACAAGCAAAAUACAGUCCGACUUGGCAAGCCUAGAAGUGAUGAUCGGAACCCCUAGAUACCUCACUGGUAGUUUAACUUCCUGGAAACCAAGGGCCAAGAGGAUAUAAUUCCAAAGAGUAGGGGAUCACCUGCAAGGAAGACUUCGCUUUUACUUGUGUGCGGUAGCAAACCACUCCAGGAAGAGAAAAUGUUGAGGCAUCUUUUGAGUAGGGAAACUGAUGCCCAGUUAGCCUGACGUAAUAAGAAUACAUCAUCUGCGAAAAAUAGGUGGGAGAACUUUAAGGCUUUGCAUCUCCAAUAAUACUUAAAGUCCGGGUGUGAAGUGCGAGAGUUGAGGAUCCUAGAGAAAACCUCCAUCACCAAUGUAAAAAGAUAAUGAGACAUAGGAUCGCCCUGUCGAAGGCCCCGGCCACCGGAAAAGAAACCAUGUAACUCCCCAUUGAUGGAGAUGGAGUACUUAGGCGUCCGUACACAAACCAUAAUGAGUUGGGUCAUCCAGGAUGGAAAGCCAAAAGCUAAUAAGGUUAAUUCAAGAAAAUCCCAAUCAAUCGUAUCAUAUGCUUUUUGGAAAUCUACCUUAAUCGCACACUUAGGCAAAUAAGGGUCCACAUGGAAUCUUGCAAAAAGCUCUUGAGCCAAGAGGAUAUUAUCAUUAAUCAUCCUUCCAUUGACAAAAGCAUUUUGGGAAGGGCUAAUCAAAUCCCGAAGCACGACGGCUAAUCGGUUGGCAAGAAUCUUGGUGAUGACUUUAUAUAAAGUAUUAUAGCAAGCAAUGGGCCUAAAGUCCGAGACAACACAAGCAUUAGGGACCUUGGGCGCCAAAGCAAGGAUAGUGUUGUUCACCUCACGUAAAAGCUUGCCUGAAGAAAAUAAAUCUUUAACCACUUCUAGGAUCAACGGGCCUACAAUCUCCCAAGAACUCUUAAAGAUCUCCACAGUAAAACCAUCUAGGCCGGGGGGCCUUGCCUCUAGUGAGGGAAAAUAAAGUAUCAUGGAUCUCAAAAUCUAGCACAGGCCGAGAAAGAAUACUAACAUGUUCUUCUAAGAACGGACACCUAAUGAGCGCCUGCAGCUCCUGCAGCGACGGCUUCACAAGGACAGCCUGUGGUGUAAGAAGAUCAGUGAAGUAGGAGACAAAAACUUGCUGCACCCUAUCCGGAUCCAUGACCAACAAGCUGGUUGAAUCCUUGACAGAGAGGAUUCUAUUUCGAAGCUAUCUUCGGUUAACCGAGUGAUGAAAAAAUUUAGUAUUUAUAUCACCUUCCUGAAGCCAACGAACCCUGGACUUUUGUCUAUAAAAAGACUCCUCUUAACUUCGCAAAUCAACGUAGCACCGACGCUGCUCUUUCUCUAGCUCAGCAAGAGCAAUACUGGUCGGGUCUAGUUGGAGGGCCUGCUGGGUAAGCUUCAAGGCAUUCCUUGCUUUAGCCGUUCUCACAGAUAUAUCGGAGAAUGACUCUCUAUUUUAAUUGCUUUAGACGGCCUUUGAGAGUUUUUAGCUUGCUGACAAGCUUGAACAUAAGAAAACCGGCCUUAGGGAAAUUCCAUACUUGCUUAACAAUAGAGUUGUAAUCUGGAUGUUUCAUUCAAAAGUCGAAGAACUUGAAAUGCUUUCUUGUAUGAACUAGGUGUAAAACUCUAACCACCGUUGGAGUGUGAUUAGAAAUACCCGGAAUCAUAAAAGAAGCUUCUGAGAAAGAGAAGUCACGUCUCCACUUUGAAUUCACCAAAACUCGGUCAAUUUUUCUUUGCUUCCGAUUCUCCCCUGUAGAGGUGGACCAAGUAAACCUAAGUCCAACAUACCUAAGAUCCUUGAGUUCCAUCUGAGCCAAGCAAUCAUUGAACUCAUCAAAAUAGGGAAUCCAAGUGUUCGAGCUACUCACAUGGUCCGACGGGUCUCUAAUGACAUUGAAGUCACCUGCCACCAGCUAGGUCGACUCCUGCAAUAAGUUAUCCUUCUAGACAAGAUCCGCCCAAAGGGGUUGGCGGCGCAAAAAAGUGUGCUCAUCAUAUAUCACAGACAUGCAGCAAACCACCCCAGACAAAAUAGAGGUCAGAUUACCAUGAAUAGCCUGAUCAUUCAAGGGUGAGACAUCAAUGCUAACAAGGGCAGGAUUCCAGCUAGCCCAUAUACUACCACGAGGAGCGAAAUCAUAAUUUGCAACCCAACUCCACCCCGAAAAAAGGUCCACAGAGAUGGACUGAACAAGGGGUUCCAGCACCUUAGUCUCCAAAAUACCAACAAAAUAUAGAUUAUUGGAAGCAACCAAACUUCUUAUCUCAACCCGCUUUAGGGGAUUCAUAAGUCCCUGAAUAUUCCAAAAUCCUAAUAACAUCAAAAAAGAACAAGGAGAGAAAGUUACCUCUUCUUGCUAUGCCCAUGCUGAUUAGAAAUCGAAGCAGGCAUGUUAGAGGGGGGGAGGAUCUUGGCACAACUCCAAAAGCUUGUCCUGGAUCAAUAGAGGCUUCCUUAGGUCAGGAGGGGCGACAAUGGGGCAAGGAGGCGGAACAUCUUCAUCCGAGGAGCUGUACUCCUCCUUCACCGAGCCACCAGCUCCUGCACUUGAAGCCGGACAGGCAGACGGAGCAUCAGGAGGGGCUGCCUUGCCCGCAACAGGAUAAGUGCGGCCACCGCCUUAUACUGGAGCGACCCCAGCACGCUGUGGCUUAACAAACGAAGAAGACUGGACCGAUUUCACACGAACAAGAUUUUGAGACUUAGCUGGCGGAGCAGAAGGGGCAGGCCUCGCUUAGAUGGGUUCCUUAAGCUUGGACUGGCCACCAACACCAACAAGGGCUACACCUAAAGAGGCCUCCUUAGGCACCUGGCCCUUUUCCUUCUUCCCUUUUACUUGUUUCUACUCUGAACCAACACCUGAAGGGGCCUGAGAAAUCGGAUUAGGAUGCGGAACAACCACAGGGUCAAUCGGCCCAAGCACAAGCAAUGCCUGCCUUCGUUCCUCAGUCGAGCUGCUAGCGAUAGGUCUGGUAGCUUGCUGAGGAAGAUCCAUCCUCCCACUCUUGUCUUGGUCCGAGCUGGCACUAGCAACAUGGGAAGCUUCCCUAUAAUUAUUGGGAAUCACAAAACAGAUGUGGGGAACAUAAGAAGGGGUUGCAUGAACAUCUCCAAUUGCAACUAGAAUAGAGGGUACAGGGCAAGUAUAGCCAAAGAUGCCACAUGAAGGACAAAUACUAGGUUUCCAUUCGUAUUCCACCUCAACAGAGCUUACCUCUCCUUGGUGAACCACCUUAAUAGCUUCACAGCAAGGUUGCUUCGCUGAUAUCUCAACACAGACACAUGCAAAUACCAGUAUACUCUUUUUCUCAGUUCUCAAGUCAACAUAUAACGGUUUUCCCACUACACUAGCCACUGCACUAAUCCCCUACGAAGACCAGAAAAUAGUGGGCAAAUUCUUCAAUUGAAUCCAAACAAGAACAACUUAAUGGUCAUCUUUCCUCAUAUCCAACAAAGGCUUCCCUCCAAUACCUUCCUUCGGAAAUCAGCAUCAAGGACUCAAAAGAAAAAGAAGCCCUACCUGUUAGCCAUCACUUCCAACACCUUAGGGCCCCAAGCAUUCUUAAUAGAAGACUCCACCAGCUUGAAAGGAAGUUUUCUUCCAACGAAAUAGCCGACAAGGCAUUCAAAGAACUUAGGAUCAGCAGCAUCCUUAAUAAUAUCAAUCAAUUCCAUAACCGGCUCAUUGUUGAUGACAGGAGGAGGAAUAAAUUCCAGAUUGAAGUCUUUAGUGGCAAGUUUAGCGACAAUGGCCCAGGAGCGGGCUUGAGGGGGUUUCGAAUCCCUCUUUUGCUAGCCUCUUUGCUGAAGCCCCUUCGAAGCAGACUUGGCUCUGCUCUUGUCCUAACGGCUAGCUGGAGCUUGCGGAGCCAAUCCAGCAUGAUCAGCUUGAGCUGGGGCUGCCAAAGGGGGGUUACCAUGGGAGCGAGACGAUGGGCUACGUCCCCUAGAAGUCCCAGCAUCUUGCUGUGUCAAACGGGGCUGAUAACCAGCAACAGGGGUGGAAGAGGCCAUACGUCAAACACCUGGCGUGCAGGCCAAAGACUAACUACAAAAUGCCCAUUAGAAGUAAAGGAACAUAUCUGGACAGACUUCAAGGAGACCAAACGGGACCUAGAAGAGCACAUGCUUAAAUAAGAACGGCCCACAACACAACUUAGUCGUUGCAGAGAAUUGAAAACGCAGGAACAAUUCCGCCCUUCCAAAACUGACGAGACCGGGGCUUGUGGAUCAAAGGGAGAGGGUCGGCUGAGCAGGAUGAUAGAGGGAGGUAAGGCGACCUACCCUACCACCGAAGAAGCCCAGAUGAUCAUCAAUGCCCAUCGCACAAAGCUCAAACUAGAAUCGCAGGAACAAACUCAAUAGCACGCCUAGGGCAGCUCAGAUCUUGAAAUGAAGAAGGAGUUUGAGGAAAUCCUUUAGUGGGGAUGUAGAGAAGGAUAAGAACGACCUCUCCUCCAAAAAUCAGCCCAAACGGAUGCCUCUAGCUCCAGGAACAAGCCAAACACCAAAACGUGAACAAUACCAAAUUCGCCUAGAAAGAGAGAGCCCGAUGAAGAGUAUCUGCGAGUGGUGAAAAUGGCAAAGCUUCCUUUACCAUUAUUUAUAUAUUGAUAAGUGCUAAAUUAGUUUCUAUCUAGUAUUGCAUGAGAAGAAUAACUAUAAUACAUAAUCUAUUCAUCAAAUGAUUAAUAAUCAGUGAUAGACAAGAUAAAGUUAUUACCAUCCAAAUCACAAUAGCUACAGUUGCAAGAUUAUCCACAGACUUAACUGCAAUUUCCUGACCCUUCUCGUUUUUCCUUCCAAGAUACCCUUUUUGGCACAGUUCCAAUAGACAACAUCACCGGUUCUAGAUUAAUUAUAUCUGUUCAUGUCUAUGCUAUUCUUGCUAACACAUGUAUCCAUCUUUCUUCUAUUUUCACCUACUAAAAUAAUAAGCCGCGUCGUCCCCGGUGCCCUAGCGAUGAUUUUCUCUAGGAUCGGCCGUUCGUUGUCGAGAUCUUCCCGCUCGAGGGUUCGUCGUCGUGCCUCGAUUUCUUCCCCUCUUUUCUUCUUCGUUCUUCCCGAGUCGAUUCGUUUAUUCCCUUUUCGAAUGUAUUAGAUUUUGUCUUCGCGUAUUGAUUGGUUUCGUUGUCCUCCGGUUGUAGAACGCAUUGUGCCGCGGCGGUGUACGAUCGGGCCCGUUGAAUGGCGCGUCAUUGGGAACGCCGCGCCUGGACGGUGCGCUGGGCGGAUUGGGUGGGAAGUUAGGGUUUGUCAGGGAAUACUUAGCUUCUGCCGGGGCCAUCAAGGGGUUCUCCGCUAAAUCUUAUUUAUCCGAUCUAAAUCGCGUUCUUGCUAAUCCCAGAGUCCACCGGUUUUUCUCCAGCGAAGCCCCGAAAAAGAAGAGUAAGUGCAUUCUACAGUCGAGAAGUUAUUGGUGUUUGCAAGUGUUGUCUUUGAGAGCCUUUUGGCUUUUGAACUCCGCGAAAAUUAGCUAAAUAAGUGAGUGGGUUUUAUUUCGCAGAUUAUGAGAACUACUAUCCGAAGGGAAGGAAGGAAGUUCCAAAAGGAAAUGAACAAAAAUCAGAGUCCAAAGGUAGAUCUUUUUUUUCUCCAUGGUACUAAAUUCUAUGUGUGCAUUGAAAUCUUUGUUUUGGUCCGCCUUUUUGUCUUAUACCCUUUCCAUUGAAUUGAUAUGUCGAGUGGUUUCAUUCUGAUAAUCAGUUAUAUAGAAUUUUACAUUUGAGGUGACCAUUCACUGUCGAUCUUUGCUGCAUCAUUUGUUGUUUGAUGAACAACAUUAACCAUCGACUUAUGUCCCAAAAGGGAUCAUUUCAAGACAUCCUAGCCCUCGUGGAGUCAUGGCACACAGCAGGUACAAAUCUUCCUUGGCUGAUAUUGGUUUUUAAGUGUGUCAAUCGGGCACACAUAGUUCCGCUCUGAUCCACUGGUCGACAAAUGCGAAAUCAAUGCAUUCUUUGACAUGUGUGGAAGCUGAGGAAUUUGUUCUACCGUUGGCUCGUAACCAGGGUGACAAAGAGCUAUAAAUCUUCCUCGAAAAAGAAGGUUUGAUCCUAUGUGGUCAUGCUGGAUUGUUUACAUAUAAGCCACAUUCUGUAGUUUCAAGUUGGUCUUUCUGUCUGGUGCAACAUCGGAUUUGUUUCUUUAUAUCCUAUACAUAUGUCUUGUGUGAAGUUUUUGUCUCACUUGGGAGGGUGUUGAUGUGAAAGUUUAGGGGAUUAGUUCUAGCUUCUCAGGACUUAACAAACUGUCUAAUGAGCGUGCUAAAGACAUAAUGUUGGUGGCUGCUCGUCUUCUAGGAGUUGUUCUCCUAGACCAUUAUUUUAGUUGGACAAUUCCCUUCCUGCUUGUACCCUUAAACACUGUUAUUGGAAAGUACCUAUAUCAUGGGUAGAGACUGAGGCCCUUUUGGCUAAAUUGGUUGAGAUUGAGGAGUCGUUCGAAGAUGGACCUGAAGAAUGGUAACUUCUUGUUGUAAUCUGUAAAUGAUCCGUGGAUGGAUGUAUUUCACAAUAGUAUUCUACGGAGUAGCUAGGAGACAUGGGAAGACUGUAUUAUUGAAUGAACAGAAGUAAUUGCAGUAGGAUGAAAUUUGGUUGAGUGAAGAAAUGAGUUCGUUUAUGUAGGCAAUUUUUCGAACCAGAUUGUUCCUUCUUAUCUGUAAUAGGAAUUGCAUGUUUGUUGUUUGCCCUUCAGUUGGUUUUCCUUACAAUGCUAACAUACACUCAAGUUUAGGUGCAAAGAUGGAUAUAUGGAUUGCAAAGUGAAUUACAUGCACACUUUCACGCACUGUGUUGUAGUUCUUUCCAGCUUUCCACUCAAAUAAAUCUAUGUAAGGCAGGUCCCUUAAAUUUUUUACCCAAUUUUCAGGGGAUUCGAACACAGACGAUAAUCAGGAGACUUUCAUGAAGCAGUUCCAGAAUUUGAUCACGCCCUUGGUCGUGAUUGGACUGUUCCUUUCCUCCUUUUCUUUUGGUCCUCGUGAACAACAGCAGGUAGAUCUGCUAAUGAGCUGGCUGAUUUAUUUUUAUUUAUAUUUCUUUUUUGCCAUAAUGAGCAUGCUUAGGUUCUUCUUCGUCUUUUUUUUUCCAUGUUCAUAUUAUGCUGGUUGGACUGUGAUCUUUUUCUGAUUGGGGCCACGUAUGCAAUCUCCUCAUUACAGCAGUGCAAUAACGAUUGAGUCAUCUACAGACCAGAGAUUUAGUCUGUUUUCUUAUUCUCGUGUUUGUUAAAAAUCUAAAUUGCAGAUUAGCUUUCAAGAGUUCAAAAACAAGCUUCUGGAACCAGGCUUGGUGGACCAUAUAGUUAUUUCUAACAAAUCUGUAGCAAAAGUGUUUGUAAGAAAUUCACCAUCAAGUCAAACAAUUAAUGAGGUCAGCGAUGGACCCAAGAGCGGCAAUGGCAAUGUUGCGAGAGGGCAUGGAGGUCAGUAUAAGUACUACUUCAAUAUCGGAAGUGUUGAAUCUUUUGAAGAGAAAUUGGAGGAAGCCCAAGAAGCAUUAGGUGUGGACCCCCACGAUUAUGUUCCUGUCACUUAUGUCUCUGAGAUGCUCUGGUACCAAGAGAUAUUGAGAUUUGCACCGACUCUCCUGCUUUUGGGAUCCCUUUUGUACAUGGGGCGGAGAAUGCAAGGCGGCCUCGGUGUUGGUGGCGGUAGUGGGAGGGGUGCUCGGGGUAUAUUUAACAUCGGAAAGGCUCAUGUUACUAAAGUGGAUAAAAAUGCCAAGAACAAGGUCAGUUUUAAAUGAAAUAGUCACCUUGCUUUCAUGCUGUAGCCUUUUCCUCUUUCUCCAUUUUGUUGUGGAGGGUUAAAGAUGUUUAAACCAGAAAAUUUGCAUUCUGUUUCAAUUCUGACUAGGUAUUCUUUAAAGACGUCGCCGGCUGUGAUGAAGCUAAGCAAGAAAUUAUGGAGUUUGUACAUUUUCUCAAUAAUCCGAAGAAAUAUGAAGAAUUGGGAGCAAAGAUUCCGAAAGGCGCCCUUCUUGUUGGUCCCCCAGGUACAGGGAAGACUCUUUUAGCGAAAGCAACUGCUGGAGAGUCUGGCGUGCCGUUCCUAUCUAUAUCAGGUUCCGAUUUUAUGGAGAUGUUUGUUGGUGUUGGGCCUUCGAGAGUGAGAAACUUAUUUCAAGAAGCAAGACAGUGUGCUCCUAGCAUAAUAUUUAUUGAUGAAAUUGAUGCAAUUGGUCGAGCGAGAGGACGUGGAGGUUUUUCAGGUGGCAAUGAUGAGCGUGAGAGCACACUCAACCAGUUGCUCGUAGAAAUGGACGGCUUUGGUACCACCUCAGGGGUAGUUGUGCUUGCUGGCACUAAUAGGCCUGACAUCUUGGACAAAGCCUUGUUGAGGCCUGGUCGAUUCGAUAGGCAAAUCUCCAUUGAUAAACCUGAUAUCAAAGGCCGUGAACAAAUAUUCCAGAUAUACCUGAAAAAGAUUAAGCUUGAUCAUGAACCUUUGUAUUAUUCACAAAGGCUUGCAGCCCUUACAC